GGGGUUUUUUCCGUAUUGGUCAGGCUGGUCUCGAACUCCUGACCUCAGGUGAUCCGCCCACCCCGGCCUCCCAAAGUGCUGGGAUUACAGGCGUGAGCCACCGCGCCUGGCUGGGGUUAUUACUAUUGUUAUCCCUUUUUUAUUUAACACCUGCAGACACUGAAGCACCCAGGGGCUAGGUAACACCGAAGGCAACACAGCUGUCAAGUGAUUGACUGGGAGCCAGGGUGGGGUGGGGUGCCUCCAGAUUUCUUAUCCAUAACUCCCUGCUGCCUCCCAACCGUCUUUAAUAACGAUUGCCUAACAGGUGGCUCUGUGGUUAGAAAUUUUAGGCAAGCAGAUUCCAGAAGAGCUUCCUGCAAAAUAGCGGGUCCUCUCUUGGCUGGUGAUGUUUAAGCUCAAUGAACUAAUCAGUUCAAUGCUAUUCAAAUAGCAUGCGCUCCAUUCCUAAGGCAACUUGCAUUCUAAAGCAAAGUUAUGAAGCAGAGAAUUGUCUUGUAACACACAACUACCAAUGACAUCCAAUAAUAACACUUAUUAAAAGGUGAGGACACAUCCUCCAGCUCUGCUGGGGACAAUGUGGGGAAUUCUGUCUGGAGCAAGGCCUUCGAUAAGCUUGAGGCAGCUUGUAACUCUUAGCGUUUAGACUUUCACUGGCUGAGUUGUUAUUCUUCAUAUUUGAAUCUAAGAGCCAUGGAGAGUUCUUAGAUUGUUAGUUUUCCUGGACAGUUUUCUUUCCCUAUACCUCCAACCCAAACACUUCCUUUGCCCUUCAGGUGAAAAUGGAAAUGCUCUUCACUCUUGGGAUGGGCCCUCACCUUUUAGUAAGUGUUAUGGUUGGGUGUCGAUUAAAAUUAAGGGGGCUGUGUGUUGCAGGACUACUCCCUUGUUCAGAGCCUUGCUUUAGAAUGGGAGCUGCCACGGGAACAGAGCUCAUGCUAUGUUAAUAUGACUUUAUUGCGGACACGGUGAUGAUCUAAAAUCCUUUGCAAAGGCACUUGAAUUUUGUAAACACCACUGUGUUCUCCCACUCCAGAUACAUGUAGUCAAUGUCUGAACUAUUGCUUGAUUUCGUUCUUUAGACAAAAACUACUGUCUUUUUAAGAAAAAAAAAAAAAAAAAAAAAAAAAAACAAAAAAACAAAAAACUACUCCACGUUGUCUUUGAGGGUGAUUAAUUGCAUAAGAAAGAACCCCAUGAUUCGUGUUACUCAGCAGAAUCAAAAAGGCUUGUGCAUUGUACUUGGGUAGCAUGAGUUUAGUCAUCUGAAUCACAAACCCAUGACCUCUGGAUACUUGGGAGCCAGAAUGAGGGCCCAAGGGAGCAUCUGACUGUACUGAAUUAGAGGGAGGCAGAGGAAGGGGUGGGGUGCCAGGGCUUCCUUGGGAAGAAAGCGUCAGAGUGAGGGUGAGGGGAUGGGGAGUGAGAGCCGAUAAGUAGGAGGAAGAGUUGUAAAAUCAGAGGCCUGGCAAAGUAAUGAAGAUAAAAGAAUGUUACACUAAAGUUAAAAUUAAGGACUUAAGAAUCAGGA
rnacentral:lncRNA from 10 species